UCAACCUGUACCCCCGGACUGUACAUUUGGGGGAGCCCCGCUCUCAGGGAGUCUGUGCUGAAGACGGUUUUUGGGGGAGUUUGUCCCCCACUGAAAAAAAGGAUCGGUCCAGACUCCAAAAGAAACUGCAAACAUUUAGACAUCUGAACGAAAUCGACGAGCAGCGAAAGAGAACGUGGAUCGUUGUUGACUUUUUUUUGACAAUUUACACACUCCUAGAGAAGCGUGCUCACGGGCGUAUUUGAAAUUAGUUAUUCCUCUUUAACAUGGAUAUAUUUUAAAUAUUUACUGUCGGCAAAACAUCAGACUGCGAAACCAAAAACUUGUUUUUCUCUUCUCAUAAUGAGAAAAACAACGAAACUUUCAUACAGCAAGAGUCAGGUGAAUUUUGGAAAACAGUUUCUUUUCUUACGUUAUUUCUGACAUAAACCACAAUAAUGUCACAAUAAAGUUUACUCAGCUCUAA
rnacentral:lncRNA from 1 species